rnacentral:sRNA from 1 species
UCAUAAACCCGGGUAAAGCGGCAUCCUUUUGCUUCUUCAGCAAAAGAUAUAGCGUAAAACGGGACUACAG